rnacentral:rRNA from 1 species
CCUACGGGCGGCAGCAGUUAUUACUAUUGUUCCCUGGGCGGCCUCCUGAACCAGCCAUGCCGCGUGCAGGACGACGGCUCUACGAGUUGUAAACUGCUUUUGUACCGGGGUAAAAUGCCUUACGUGUAGGGUUUUGAAAGUACGGUACGAAUAAGGAUCGGCUAACUCCGUGCCAGCAGCCGCGGUAAUACGGAGGAUCCGAGCGUUAUCCGGAUUCAUUGGGUUUAAAGGGUGCGUAGGUUGUUUUAUAAGUUAGCGGUGAAAUACCGAUGCUCAACAUCGGGGCUGCCGCUAAUACUGUAGGACUAGAGAUCGGAUGCAGCAGGCGGAAUGUGUAGUGUAGCGGUGAAAUGCAUAGAUAUUACACAGAACACCGAUUGCGAAGGCAGCUUGCUAGGCCGGAUCUGACACUGAUGCACGAAAGCGUGGGGAUCGAACAGGAUUAGAUACCCGUGUAGUC